rnacentral:rRNA from 1 species
UACAGGGGGUGCAAACGUUGCUCGGAAUCAUUGGGCGUAAAGCGCACGUAGGCGGUUUGUUAUGUCGGAUGUGAAAGCCCUUGGCUCAACUGAGGAAGUGCAUCCGAAACUGGCAAGCUAGAGUACUAAAGAGGAUCGCGGAAUUCCCGGUGUAGAGGUGAAAUUCGUAGAUAUCGGGAGGAACACCGGUGGCGAAGGCGGCGAUCUGGGUAGAUACUGACGCUGAGGAGCGAAAGCAUGGGGAGCGAACAGG